rnacentral:lncRNA from 1 species
AAAACGUGCAGGGUGACUCAUUUGAAAAGCAUGUAUAACUUAGAAGGAACCGGAAACUCUGCUCAAGUGUUUGCUCAACAUUGUCAAAACAAAUCUUCAAUGCAUAAUGCAGAAACAUCCAUUUAUAAUUCCUUGAAGAACAGCGGAAGGAAAUCAAAUAAAAAGAGGACAAUCAAGUAAUAGCUACUGCAGUUGAAUGAGUGCCCUCAUCUGGGGCUGGAGUCUCUGAGAGUGAAAGACACACUGCCUGCCUGCCUGCCUGGGUGUUGAGGAUGGGGACAUCUACGAUGGGACGUGGUGUGCCCAGUAUGAGGAUAAGAAAGAAUGGCUGGAGGUGGACGCCCGUCGACCCACACGCUUCACCGGGGUCAUCCUGCACGGACACAGCUCAAUCUGGAGGUGCUGUUCAGUAAUGAUACCCUGGUCUGGAAGACAGCUAUGAAUGGGACUAAAGAGCUCAUGAAGUCAGUGACCGAGUCCUGUCCUGACAUCACCCGUAUCUACAGCAUCGGGAAGAGCCACAUGGGCCUCAAGAUGUACGUCAUGGAGAUCUCUGACAGCCCUGGAAAGCAUGAGCUGGGUAAGUAGAUAUAGACCUACUCCAGUUUAUGAAGUUUUACCUUAAGGCAAUACUACAUAACGUAUCUACAGUACCACUGCUAUAGUACUUUGUACUGUAUGCUCUCAGAGACUGGAGUUAACCCUUGUCUACACUGACAGGUCUAAAGUGUUGAAUCGGUCUGCCAGUACUGGCAACCACUAAUACCCCUUACCUACAGUACUUAUAAUGAAUGGAAGGGAGAGAGCCAGGAAUGCCUCAGCAUAGAUGAAGAACUGGUUAGCCUGCACACUGGAAUAGAGAGGAAAACCCUAUUAUAUAGAGGGUGACUAGUCUUCUUAAUAUGUCAACACUGGAAAUUCUUGGCCUGUUUUGUACGGAGUAAAAAGCUUUCAAUGGUUUUUGACUGUAAAUAUUUGUUCAUCUCCAACUCUCUUGGCAGAGAUUAAGCCAGACUGUAGUUUAACUUGUUGAAUCUAGGGAUCUUUUAUUUUUGGGGGAAAAAUAACGUUCCCAAAGUAAACUGGCUAUUUUUCAGGACCAGAAAAAAGAAUAUGCAUAUAAUUGACAGUUUAGCAUAGACAACACUCUAAAGUUUCCAAAAUUGUAAAGAUAUUGUCUGUGAGUAUAACAGAACUGAUAUUGCAGGCAAAAGAAUGAGAAAAAUCCAAU